rnacentral:rRNA from 1 species
UACAGAGGUGGCAAGCGUUGUUCGGAAUUACUGGGCGUAAAGGGCGCGUAGGCGGCCUUCUAAGUCAGACGUGAAAUCCCCAGGCUUAACUUGGGAACUGCGUCUGAUACUGGAUGGCUUGAAUUCGGGAGAGGGAUGCAGAAUUCCAGGUGUAGCGGUGAAAUGCGUAGAUAUCGAGAGGAACACCUGAGGUGAAGACGGGUUGCUGGGCCGACACUGACGCGGAGUGCGCGAAAGCCAGGGGAGCAAACGGG